rnacentral:lncRNA from 1 species
CACUGAUCCAUAUGGAGCUUUAGGAUCCAGACCUCCGCCCCAAUUCGAUGUAGGACGAUACUCUGAGGCCUCCUACGCUUUCACGAAUGACUACUACCAAGAGGCCAGCGCUUUCUUCAACCGCACCGACAACACCCUUGUCGACAUCCAGAAUACGUAACCAGAACAUGGACGACUUCUGGAAGAGCAACAAAAAUGGAACAAGGACCACGCCACUACAGUACAAGAGCUGAGACAAGAUACCACAACAAUGAACGGCAACAUCACCACCAUGAUGCGAUUCUGGAACAUCGAGUAAGACCGACAUCCACAUCCAGCUUAGGGGAGUUCCUCCCCAAUUUAUCAAGUAAGUUUUUAUUUGUUUUUCUUAUUUAUUCUUUUCUAUUUUAGUGUUUUAUUUAUCUUAAAGAGAAAAACUUAGAAAACCCAAUAAAUAUUUUCUUGCUUUAAAUUACUGCAUUCUAUAAACAUAAAAACAAAAUAAAAAGAGUGUGUAGAUAAGUGUGCUUUAUUUUUCUGUUAAGUUUAAUCUCUAGAAAAAAUAAAAAGACCAAAAAAAAUACAUGAUGGAAAUGAUGAACAGUUGCUCUGUUUGCUUACUUUCAAGUACCUAGCUUUUAUAUUAGUGUUCUUCCAGGAAUUACUAAAACUGAAAUUACUAUCUAUGGGAAGCAUAAAACUAAAGUCUAGGUAAGAGAAGGACAUGAUAUAAAGUUUGAGCUGCUGUUUAUCUUGUUCCUACUACACUAAGUUCUGGAGAUUUAUUUUGAAAACUUACAAAUCACAUGAUGCGUUCCUAGCAUUACAAACUACCUACCACAGCCAUACUUGCUAUAACAUCUUUUAUUCAUAUUCACAUUGAGUUUGAUCGAGCUGUAUAGACCCUUAGGAGCUUUUCAUGUGGUUAAAUUAAGAUAUUCACUUGCACACAUCUACUACACCAUCCACCACCACUUAUUAAAAUUGCUAAAAAUAUUACCACUCACUGUCCCAAGUAUUGUUAUUCUCUCUCUCUAAAAAGACUCAAUGCAGAAGAGGCAUGGGUUAUGCAAAAAUAUGCGAGGAAAUAAAAAGGGGCAAGUGCCCGGAACCUCGGAAAAGAAAGAAAAAGAGUGAGACAAGAGGUAAAAAUGGACAAGUGUCCGGAGUAGAAUUAGGAUUACAAAGAUGCCCACUUGAGUGGAAAAAAUGGACAAGUGUCCGAGAGUAGAAUUAGGGGUAUCUACUACCCACC